CAAUAGCGUAUAUUAAAGUUGUUGCAGUUAAAAAGCUCGUAGUUGGACCUUGGACCUGGACAGGCGGUCCGCCUCACGGCGUGUACUGUCUUGCUGGGUCUUUCCUCUUGGUGAUCUGUUGUUUCGGCAGCAGGGAACCAGGACUUUUACUUUGAAAAAAUUAGAGUGUUCAAAGCAGGCUCGACGCCGGAAUAUAUUAGCAUGGAAUAAUAAAAUAGGACGUGCGGUUCUAUUUUGUUGGUUUUUGGAAUCGCCGUAAUGAUUAAUAGGGACAGUCGGGGGCAUUAGUACUCACAUGCUAGAGGUGAAAUUCUUGGAUUUUGUGAAGACUAACUUCUGCGAGAGCAUUUGCCAAGGAUGUUUUCAUUAA
rnacentral:rRNA from 1 species